CAUAUUCAACAAUACAUACAAAGUUUUCAAUCCCAUAAAUUUACAUUGUUUGAUCCAACAAGGUGUAGAGAGCAAAUAUGGCAUCCGUUUGCAAAGUUGGUUUCUUCACCAUCCUUGUGUGUGGUAUUUUUCUAUUGGGAAGCAAUGUGGAACUAGCAACUGCUCAGACAGUUUGUCUAACGGUUUGUGAACCUGAAGCAGCCUAUAUGAUCUGCCCACCAAACAUAAAGACUGAACCAGUCUGCAGCAAUUGUUGUACCCUUGAGAACACUGGUUGCCAGCUCUACCGUUCCAAUGAUUCCCCCAUUUGCACUUAAACCAAAUAAUCUCUACCAUAUAAUAAUGUCUCAAUCAUCAUAUAUACAUGGAAUAAGAUUAUUGUAAUAAGACUUUGAAAUAAUUACGCAUGGAGGUGAUGAGGCUAUUAGUAUAUAGCUAGUCUAUUGCCUUCCUUGUAAGACAAGUAGUUGUAGUUAUUGUUGUGAUGUUCCAACCCCACCUUCGUAGUGUGGUUUUGUUAUUGUUAUUGAAAAGAAAACAUUGGUUUUAUA